rnacentral:misc_RNA from 1 species
GUGGGAGCCGGGCUUGCCCGCGAUGGCAGUGGGUCAAUCAGCUAAUGUGUUGACUGACACUCCCUCAUCGCGGGCAAGCCCGGCUCCCAC